UUUCUACCCCCUCCGUCCGAAAAUACUUGUCAUCAAAAUGGAUAAAAAUAGAUGUAUCUAAAACUAAAAUACGUCUAGAUACAUUUCCUUUUAUCCAUUUUGAUGACAAGUAUUUCCGGACGGAGGGAGUAUUUG
rnacentral:pre_miRNA from 1 species